UUGAAACCACAAUUACACAAUAGUAUCCGAAGAAAGACGCUUUGUUGACAAUGUCUGUUGACGUGCUCGGACUGCUUGUGGUAUUUGCGCCUAGCUGUUAAAUAUUCGUUGUACACAUGCCAGAACGUAAUUAACAUUCUUGCUGAUUAGCUUUAGGCAAACCUUUUGAAUUUUUACUCAGGAUGACGAUAGCAGAAUUGUGAUGAAAUUUUGGAAUAAAUGCUGUUAUAUGGGCCUUAAUGGAAUGGUUUAAAACGUCCUUUGGACUUUGGUGAGUAUAGCUUUGUACUUUGUGUAGUAUUGGUUUAAAAAUAGGCUUAGAUAAUUUCAACGUCUGCUAGGAAUUGAAUGAAUGAACAAAUUCUUGAACUGUCUAUGCCAAUGUAGGCAGUUUCAAUAAUAGGAGCAAGCUUUCGUUGGUAGGGAUCCAACAACCUGAAAUAUGUAAGGAGAAUUUAAAAGUUUCGAAAGAAGGGCCUCUUCGCUCAUGACAUCCAAAUUCUCCUUAUAUCCUUCAGGUUGUUGCAUCCCUACCAACGAAAGCUUGUUCAGGAUUUACAAACCUUCCGCAAAAGUGUAUCAUUUAUUAUUACAACAUUUAAUUUCCUUGUGAAUGAGGUUCAUUUUUCUUAGUUCACCUGCUAUUCUAUUGCCAUGCAUUGUCGGGGGCAAAAUCUAUUUUAAAUUUCGACAAACUGUCGCCUGAGGUUAUAUAAAAGAUCAUUUGCCAAGAGUGAUCUUAGAAGUUGAUUUUACAUACUGUAGUUUAACCUGCAGAUGAAAUGAAUUUGAAGAAAGAUUUGUACGGACAGGAAUAAAACCACCUAGAAAAUACAAGGACAACUUCGAUAUAUCGAGCGAGGGCCAUUUUUCGAGAAGUUACUUUGUAUUUUCAGGCAUUUUUCAUUUCUUAAAAUUUGUUUGUGGGCGCUAUACAUUACCCACACUGCAUGCCACAGACAUUAAAUCAAUCUUGUAUAUAACUAUACAAGCUUACUACAGUGUAAAAUUGAAAAAAAUUGUCUUUCCAAAAAAAAAUUGUCUUUCCAUUGCACAAAGACCUUUUAGCCGAUUUAUUACUUAAUGAUAAGUUGCAAACUUUCAUACACGAAUACAACACUGAUGAACUCAUCAUCACUCAUAUUUUAUGUUAUUGCAUGCUUUAAGUUACAAUGUAUUAUAUAAUAUAAUUAUAACACUUUAUGCCAGCACGCAAUAGGAGUAUAGAUGUGCCAAGCUAAACUAUUUACUGUAUCUGCCAUUUUUAUAUUUGCAUGGGUUUUUUUCACAAAGUAUAACAUCAGGGGAGAAUUGUCUACAGGGAUAGCUAUACCGAUGUUCAAUUUUGUCAAAUAACCGUUUAAUGGGUAUAUGUGGUCAAAACCAUUCCACUAGGCGAAUUUGUACACUUAAAGCGACCUGCCUUUGUCGGCAUCGUUCAUGUCGCAUUCGUAUUCCCGUUGAACGUUAUGCCUUCCGUUUUUUCUAAUGCAAGACAAAUGAUAAACCAUGCAAAUAAGUUCGCUCAGUGUCUCAACAUUUUUCUAGUGAUACUGGAAAAGCUUCAACAUCGAUCCACUUUUGAAGAAUCCACACAACAUCUGAAACUUAAUUUUAGCUCAAUGUCCAUGCAACGUCUGAAACUGAGAACGACGUCUUCAUAAACUAGCAUUUUAAAAUUCUCAAAUUUUCGGUUAUAAAGCCAAAAUCAGAGAUGCUAACAUAAAUAUUCUUCUUUCUGCCAGUUGGCAGCUGGUAACAAAAAAAACCAUCAGAGUGCAACUUUUAUAGAAAGUUGGCUGGUCGUCUAAAAGUCUGAUAUCUGCACGUAGUUUUAAUUUGUAUCAGCGUCAUUUUUCCCGCUGGGUAUACUGUAGCUACUUAAAACGAAAUCACUGCAUGCAAAUAAUUACACUUCAUAAUAGGUUCAAUUUGAAUUAUCGAAUGUUUCUGUUAGCCGCUUUCUAAAAGCCUUUCUGUAAACUCAAAAACCACAUGAAUAAUUAAAAUAAUUAAGUUACGCAAAUUAUUUAUAGUGCAAAUUAUUUAUAGUGCAAAUUGCGGGAAUACUUUAUUCCGGUAACAGGGUUCGUAGCGGUCUUUGAAACCCUUGAAAGUCUUUAAAUUGGAAUGCAGGUCUUUGAGGUCUUUGAAAAGUCUUUAAAUUGUGUGAAAAAGCGAAGAAAGCCUUGAAAGUCUUUAAAUUCUUUAGUGAGGAAUUGAUUAUACGAUUUCCUAGCUAAUAAAAGAGAUUGAUUGAAUCAAGAUUUUCGCAAAUAUCGACGAAAAUGCGCAUUUUAGCAUGUGAUUUGACGGGAAUAAAUACUGGGUAAAAAUGGUGCUUACACUCGCAAUUUUUCGACAGCUGAUUGCUCUCAAAGGUCUUUGAAAAGUCUUUGGAAAUAGGCAGAAAAAAUCUUUAAAAGUCUUUGAAUUUUUUUUGGUCUUGGAGACUACGAACCCUGGGUAACACCUAGUAUAUUCAAUCAUUUCGGGCAAGUGCCCAAAAGAAAAGUUAAUUAAUGAAGGGCUGGAUGGUAUAGACAACUAUAUUUUGUUUUCAUAUUCAAAACCCGAGAUUAUGUGAGACAUGCUUGUUGACUAUUUUCUUUCCCCUUAGUUACGAAUUGCAACAAGCAAAUGUGAAUUCAUUUCCGUUUGGAAUAACUUUGAAUAAUUACAGUAUGGAAAAUAUCAAAACCAGUUUGAAACAUAGUACUGCAAAUUAAAGGUGUAGACACUUGCGUGCAUGGUUACUGUUUCUAGUUACUACGCGCGUAUGGCAGCCAUUACAGACUGCAUGCAUAAUAUUGUAAGUAACGUAAGAAUAUAUUUUUGAACAUUAAUCUAUUUUCCCUGGUCUUGUACGAAUUCAACUUUAUCUAGUGCUUUUUAAAAAAUGGCUCACUUAAAAUAUUUUACCUCUUGACUAUGUAAAAAGGUAUCGCAAUUGCAAUAACUAUGAAAAUCUUUCACUAAAGCUAGGAGCUUGCAUGCACUGUACCCUCAAAGUAUGUGUUUUGUUUUCACACAUACACUCCGUGUUUUGCCUUAUAAAUUCUUAGGCAAAAUGACGAUUAUAGUCUUGUGAAUCAAAAUGUAUAAUUCUAUAUCAGAAUGUAUGAUUUUAUAUCAGUAUUUAUGAUUCUAUAUGACUUUGAGUGCAUUAAUAUUUUGGGUACUUAUUUCAGCAUAUGCAUGGGUAUUGCUUCCCCCUGGUGAUAAAAUCAUGCGUACCUGCUUGGAAUUCCUUUGAUUGAUAGCAGUCGGAGCGCGCGUAAUUCGGUAAUGUGGUUUCUUCACAAAAUGUGCAUUGCAUUUCUGGCCAUAUCUGAAGACCCACAAGAAGAUGGAUAUAAGGUGAUUAUUGCAAUGAACAGAGAUGAAUAUUUUGAUCGACCAACGAAAGAAGCGCAAUUCUACAAAGGAGAUCCUGACAUAAUAGCUGGUGAGAAGUUACGUUUAGUUUAUGUGGAUACCUCGAUGAGCAAAAAGCUUUGUUGGGAAAACUUAACGUUAUGAAUAAUAUUAAGAGCAAAUAAGGAAAACUAUAGUCGACGUAAGUACGGUUACAGCAGCCAUCAUGCAUGCACGGUAUAAAUACUGAACUCACCGCAAUAUAUGUUAGGUUAGUUUUAAGCCAGAAGUUAAAAAAUUUCGAAUGUUCUUGAUAUUUAAGAAAUUAUGGGCUUGCAAGAACAAUUUUUCUUUCAACGUGUAUAUUUAGAAAGCUUAUUCAUGUCAUAUUUUUUUCUUUCCUUUUUAUUAAAGUAACGCAUAAUUUUACGCUAGUUGUCAAUACUAGUGCCGUACGUGAACAUAUUGCAACAACAUGUCAUUAUAACGGACAUUCCCGCGGACGAUGACGCGUAUAUAUAAGUCAGAAUAAUACUCAUCCUCUCACGGGCAUUAUUAGUGCGGCAAGCGAACAACUCCUAGAACAUG